AUUGAACGCUGGCGGCAGGCCUAACACAUGCAAGUCGAGCGGCAGCGGGAAGUAGCUUGCUACUUUGCCGGCGAGCGGCGGACGGGAGAGUAAUGUCUGGGAAACUGCCUGAAGGAGGGGGAUAAGCACUGGAAACGGUAGCUAAUACCCCAUAACGUCGAAAACCCAAAGAGGGGGACCUUCCGGCCUAUAGCCAUCAGAUGUGCACAGAUGGGAUUAGCUAGUAGGUGAGGUAACGGCUCACCUAGGCGACGAUACCUAGCUGGUCUGAGAGGAUGACCAGCCACACUGGAACUGAGACACGAUCCAGACUCCUACGGGAGGCAGCAGUGGGGAAUAUUGCACAAUGGGCGCAAGCCUGAUGCAGCCAUGCCGCGUGUAUGAAGAAGGCCUUCGGGUUGUAAAGUACUUUCAGCGGGGAGGAAGGUGCUGAGGUUAAUAACCUCAGCAAUUGACGUUACCCGCAGAAGAAGCACCGGCUAACUCCGUGCCAGCCGCCGCGGUAA
rnacentral:rRNA from 1 species